rnacentral:rRNA from 1 species
UACGGGGGGGGGCAAGCGUUGUUCGGAAUUACUGGGCGUAAAGGGUGCGUAGGCGGCUUGGUAAGUUGGGUGUGAAAGCCCCGGGCUCAGCCCGGGAAGGGCACUCGAAACUGCCGAGCUGGAGUGCCGGAGGGGAGAGUGGAAUUCCUGGUGUAGCGGUGAAAUGCGUAGAUAUCAGGAGGAAUACCGGUGGCGAAGGCGGGUUGCUGGGCCGACACUGACGCUGAGGCGCGAAAGCUAGGGGAGCGAACGGG